AUUUCUUUCAUCACAUUCAUACUUUAUAGACCUUACUUUUUAAAUGGUUGUGAAGUUCUCUUCAUCAGCUGUAGCACCUACUAGACAGUAUAUGAUAAAAAAUAGUAAAGCGUCCAAUGCACAAUUUAUAAUCUUGGUCAAAUCAGUAGGUCAUUCAGGUGUUUUUUGCCUGUUGUUUUAUGAAUACUGUGUAUUAUUACAAUGCUCAUUUGAUGUGCUGCUUUUAACUUAGAAUAUAAUAAUGACAUAGGCAUAAUAUUCAGAUAGAGACAGAACCUGAUAGAAUGGAGCUGCUAUGAGGGCUGCACAGCGAUGCUGUAAACGGGUGUUUUACUGGAUUUCAACACUCCUGAAACACAUCAGAAGCCAGGACUGCAACUUCAGUCAAUCCAUUUUAGAUCAUGGGGACGGACAUGUUGAGAUCACAUGACCAGCUGAAUAUUACUCACUUCAUCUCAGUAACCACCCAGUUAUGGAUGUCUGCAAAUAGGGCAUUUCGAGCUGUGGAACUGGGGCCAAGGCAUAUGGAGAGGUUGGGUCAGCCCACCCAUGCUGCUGAGUCAGCCCACAUCCUGGGUCCUGUGCCCUCAUCUCUUGGCACUUGUGCGUGGCUUGGAAGGAAACCAAGAUGGCUGCUGCAUGUAGGGCCACAGUGGCCAUUAACAGUCAAUUCUGCCAGUCGAACUCAGGACAAGAGCAAUUCAUCUGCACAUCCGGACACUUUGCCAGUGAGCUGUCUAGGGACCAUCUCGCUGUGUCUACAUGCUGUGGGUGAGUUUAGGUCAGGACCUUUGACCUGAGGUCUUUCCUGCUCUGGGUCACUUGUCCUCAGGAUGCUCCUCUUUCAGACGCUGGGAUGCAUUUCUCUCAUUCACUUAUGCAAUGCCAGCAGGAGGUCUGUCUAAAUCACAUUCAUCCUAGUCUUGCUUAUUCCAUAGGUCACUGCAUGAGAUAAGUAAACAAAUGUUUAUUUAUUUGAUUGUAUGUUGUUGAGUCAUAGUAUGAGCUGUGGCCUAACAAUCAACCCAACCUUGUUCCCCCUUUUCACAUA
ensembl:lncRNA